rnacentral:rRNA from 1 species
UACGGAGGGUGCAAACGUUGCUCGGAAUUAUUGGGCGUAAAGCGCACGUAGGCGGCCGACUAAGUCGGGUGUGAAAGCCCUGGGCUCAACCCAGGAAGUGCACUCGAAACUGGUCGGCUUGAAUAUGGAAGAGGGUCGCGGAAUUCCCGGUGUAGAGGUGAAAUUCGUAGAUAUCGGGAGGAACACCAGUGGCGAAGGCGGCGACCUGGGCCAAUAUUGACGCUGAGGUGCGAAAGCGUGGGGAGCAAACAGG